CCUGGCUCAGAUUGAACGCUGGCGGCAUGCCUAACACAUGCAAGUCGAACGAGGUACUUCGGUACCUAGUGGCGGACGGGUGAGUAACGCGUAGGAAUCUACCUUAGGUGGGGACAACCUGGGGAAACCCAGGCUAAUACCGCAUACGCUCGUGAGAGGAAAGCGGGGGACCUUCGGGCUUCGCGCCGAAAGAAGAGCCUACGUCCGAUUAGCUGGUUGGCAGGGUAAAAGCCUACCAAGGCGACGAUCGGUAGCUGGUCUGAGAGGAUGAUCAGCCACACUGGGACUGAGACACGGCCCAGACUCCUACGGGAGGCAGCAGUGGGGAAUAUUGGACAAUGGGCGCAAGCCUGAUCCAGCAAUGCCGCGUGGGUGAAGACGGCCUGCGGGUUGUAAAGCCCUUUAGGUGGGGAAGAACGGUGGUGUGCGAACAGUGCGCCGCCUUGACGUUACCCACGGAAUAAGCACCGGCUAACUCCGUGCCAGCAGCCGCGGUAAUACGGGGG
rnacentral:rRNA from 1 species